GUUGGGGAAGGGAAAUAUGUGACAAUAGACAAAUCAAACUUGACCGAGCAGUGAAUGCGAUUUUAGUUUUGAAGUUUUCAAGUUUUUAUUUUUGAGUUCAACGAAGCUAAUGCUACUUUUUCAUAAAUUCUCAGUCAAUGGGGCUGUUGGAUAAGAAAAGUCUGAAGAUCAGUGGAAUUAAGGAUUUCUCAUGGUCUCCAGGUGAUAACGUUAUUGCAUUCUGGGUGCCAGAGGACAAAGAUAUUCCAGCCAGAGUCACAUUAAUGCAGUUUCCAACACGACAAGAAAUGAGAGUGCGCAAUCUGUUCAAUGUAGUGGACUGUAAAUUGCACUGGCAGAAAAAUGGCGAUUACCUGUGUGUGAAAGUGGAUAGAACCCUGAAGGGUAUACAGGUACAUUUGUAUGGAUGCAGCUGAUAAGAUUGCAAGAAAAGCCCAAACAAAGAAUUGGAUUUCAAAUAGCUUGUUUCAUCUGGCACAAGUUUGCCUGUUUUGCAAACCAAAAUAAUUAAACAUAAAAUGAAUCUA